UNUGGAAACUGUCUGACUUGAGUGCAGAAGGGGAGAGUGGAAUUCCAUGUGUAGCGGUGAAAUGCGUAGAUAUAUGGAGGAACACCAGUGGCGAAAGCGGCUNUCUGGUCUGUCACUGACGCUGAGGCUCGAAAGCGUGGGUAGCGAACAGGAUUAGAUACCCUGGUAGUCCACGCCGUAAACGAUGAGUGCUAGGUGUUAGGCCCUUUCCGGGGCUUAGUGCCGGAGCUAACGCAAUAAGCACACCGCCUGGGGAGUACGACCGCAAGGUUGAAACUCAAAGGAAUUGACGGGGGCCCGCACAAGCGGUGGAGCAUGUGGUUUAAUUCGAAGCAACGCGAAGAACCUUACCAGGUCUUGACAUCCCGAUGCUAUUCUUAGAGAUAGGAAGUUACUUCGGUACAUCGGAGACAGGUGGUGCAUGGUUGUCGUCAGCUCGUGUCGUGAGAUGUUGGGUUAAGUCCCGCAACGAGCGCAACCCUUAUUGUUAGUUGCCAUCAUUAAGUUGGGCACUCUAGCGAGACUGCCGGUAAUAAACCGGAGGAAGGUGGGGAUGACGUCAAAUCAUCAUGCCCCUUAUGACCUGGGCUACACACGUGCUACAAUGGUCGGUACAACGAGUUGCGAGCCGGUGACGGCAAGCUAAUCUCUGAAAGCCGAUCUCAGUUCGGAUUGGAGGCUGCAACUCGCCUCCAUGAAGUCGGAAUCGCUAGUAAUCGCGGAUCAGCACGCCGCGGUGAAUACGUUCCCGGGCCUUGUACACACCGCCCGUCACACCACGAGAGUUUGUAACACCCGAAGUCGGUGAGGUANCCUUUUAGGG
rnacentral:rRNA from 1 species